GACGAACGCUGGCGGCGUGCUUAACACAUGCAAGUCGAACGGUAAGGCCCUUCGGGGUACACGAGUGGCGAACGGGUGAGUAACACGUGGGUGAUCUGCCCUGCACUUCGGGAUAAGCCUGGGAAACUGGGUCUAAUACCGGAUAGGACUCCGGACUGCAUGGUCUGGGGUGGAAAGCUUUUGCGGUGUGGGAUGGGCCCGCGGCCUAUCAGCUUGUUGGUGGGGUGAUGGCCUACCAAGGCGACGACGGGUAGCCGGCCUGAGAGGGUGACCGGCCACACUGGGACUGAGAUACGGCCCAGACUCCUACGGGAGGCAGCAGUGAGGAAUCUUCCACAAUGGGCGAAAGCCUGAUGGAGCAAUGCCGCGUGCAGGAUGACGGCCUUCGGGUUGUAAACUGCUUUUAUAUGGGAAGAUUAUGACGGUACCAUAUGAAUAAGGACCGGCUAACUACGUGCCAGCCGCCGCCGUAA
rnacentral:rRNA from 1 species